rnacentral:rRNA from 1 species
AGCGGCGAAAGGGAGAGUAACGCGUAGGGUAUCUGCCCCCAGGUCUGGGAUAGCGGCGGGAAACUGCCGGUAAUACCGGAUAAUGUCUCCGGACCAAAGGUGUGAUUCCGCCUGGGGAUGAUCCUGCGUCCUAUUAGUUUGUUGGUGGGGUAACGGCCUACCAAGACUUUGAUGGGUAGCGGGCGUGAGAGCAUGGCCCCCACCACUGGGACUGAGACACUGCCCAGACACCUACGGGUGGCUGCAGUCGAGGAUCUUCGGCAAUGGACGCAAGUCUGACCGAGCGACGUCGCGUGCGGGUUAAGGCCUUCGGGUUGUAAACCGCUGUCAGAGGGGAGGAAAUCGCUGGAAGCUAUCUUCCAGUGUUGACCGAGCCUCAGAGGAAGCACGGGCUAAGUUCGUGCCAGCAGCCGCGGUAAUACGAACUGUGCGAACGUUAUUCGGAAUCACUGG